rnacentral:piRNA from 1 species
UAGAAGCCUAAGAUGAUAUACAUAUUAUAUA